rnacentral:misc_RNA from 1 species
UGCGCAUCACCUCUUGCUUGUCUAGAUCAGCCCGGACGUUGGCAUGUGUAGCGCAUUUUGUCGGGUUUCGAGAUCAAGAAUCGAUGUCCCUUUGUUGGUUGGUUUUCCGAGAAUCCUUGUCCCUUGAUUACGUUGGCCACCCGGGAAAAUGCGCCUCACUUGCUAGCACGUCUAGAUCAGCCAGGGCGUAGGCAUGUGUAUCGUAUUUUGCCGGGUUUCGAGAUCAAGAAUCGAUGUCCCUUUGUUGGUUGGUUUUCCGAGAAUCCUUGACCCUUGAUUUGUUACUUUCGCAUCGUUCGGUGCAUUCUGGGGGAUGUUUUGGCUUUUGGUGGCUUACUUGGCCUUUUGGCUGGGUUUGUUGCUAUUGGUCGGGCGGCUUUCGGGAAUGUCGACCGUGGAGGUGCAUGAGUGGUGUUUGGUUUGUUACGUGUGGAUGGCUGUUUGCUUGCGCAACAACGUUCACGCUGCAUACCUCUUCAGUUUUGCGGCAAGGCUUGGUUUGGCUUGUGCAUAUUGUGGGUUUCCUGUGUUGCAUACCUAGUUGAAGGAAAAGUGUGGGUUUUACGAUUUUCAUUUUCGUCUUGCGUCGUUCUUUCGGCAUGGGAUGAGCAAUGAAGCGAUCUUUAUGAUCCAUCGUGCUGUUGUGUUUGCAACAAUGAUGUGGCCUAUGAAGCAUCGUUUGGUCUCUUGUAUACGGAAGCUCAUUUGGGCUUGGGUCUUCAUAAGAUCUUCGUUAUGCCCUUGUUAAGCGUUCUCGCUUCUCCUAAACGAUUG